AUGGGUAAUGCAAAAAGCAAGGACGGUGAACAUCAACUAGAAGAGGUCGUUCCUACAGGUCAGAUUAGCGGUACAAAUCAUGAAGAAUACAAUGCAACCUUGAUUCCCUUUGAUGAACUAGAUGGAGCUAAUUACGCGACGGAACCCGCCCCUUCUAGCGAGACAAAUAUUAAAGAAUCUAAUUCAAGCAUCGUAAACGUAUCUGGAAAUGUUGACCCAAUAUACACGACGGAAACAGAAUGGUUGAGGGUUGGGUACCAUGCUGAUGGUCAAACUGAACCGGCUAAUCUGACUGAGCUAAAAGUUGACACAGAAGACGUCAUUGCUUCCAAACAUCAUGAAACUAUAACAUUCAAUAUUGAAUGCAAAAAAUACGCGGAUAAUGCAAGGGCGGAGUACAAUGCAAGGAAACGUGCAGCUUAUCGGAUUAAACGAAAUCAGGAUAUUAUCAGCUCACAAAAUGAGAAUCAGCCGGUAGUUGGAAAAUCUGAUCAUAGGGAUCAUAUCAACGCUCGUAGGCGGGCUGCUUAUCGCAACAAGUUGUCGGAUGUUUUGGGUAACCAACAAGUCAUUGGGAAGUCUGCCAGUCGCCAGUCUCUAUCAGAUAUCACAAAUGUUCUCGAAAAUAGGGAGAGUACUAAACCUAAUGUCCAAGAUGUAAAUGCACUUGCCCCUCAAUCCUCAGACAACCCAGCUAACUCUAACUAUCCGGCAUUGUCGCAUGAUGCGUCAACGUUUUCUAUUUCAACUGCGGGUCUUUCUGGUCUCGUUAAUGAGAAUGAAAGUCAAGUAGCAAACCAGUAUUACACCCAAGAAACAGAGGAUAGAACGGAGGCAGAACGCAAGAGAGACCAUAGAAACGCACUGAGAAGGGCCUCCUAUCGACGGAAAAAACUACCUAAUGUCCUAGAUGGAAAUGCAAAGACCCUUGUGGUUACAGACAACCCAACCAGCUUGGAGUCGUUUCCAAGUUCAAAUACGUUGUCAACUGUAACCAUCUGUGACACGGAGCAUCAAGAUGAUAAAACGGAAGCUGAACGCAAGAGAGACCAUAGAAACGCCCUCAGGAGGGCUUCCUAUCUGCGGAAGAAACAAUCUACCGUACAAGUUGAACAUGCACACAACCUGCGUUUAUCAGGCACCCACACUGGCUCUAACUAUACAUCAUUGUCGAAUGAUGCGUCGGCACUUCCUGAUUCAACGGAGGUCUCGACUGGGAUCGUUAAUGACAUAGAGCUACAAGACGGGAUAUUGAAUGACAUACACGAAACAAAUGAAAGAACUGAAGAAGAACGCAAGAGAGACCAUAGAAACGCCCUAAGGCGAGCUGCUUAUAGGAGGAACAAGGAUAAGCGAAUCCAUGAUCGAAACAAUAAUGCAUCUGCUACUUCAGGUCAGCCUAUCACCGUCGCCGACGCGGCCAUUGCUGCCGGUAGAAGUUGA
rnacentral:rRNA from 1 species